rnacentral:rRNA from 1 species
GAAUGCUGACAUAAGUAACGAUAAAGCGGGUGAAAAGCCCGCUCGCCGGAAGACCAAGGGUUCCUGUCCAACGUUAAUCGGGGCAGGGUGAGUCGACCCCUAAGGCGAGGCCGAAAGGCGUAGUCGAUGGGAAACAGGUUAAUAUUCCUGUACUUGGUGUUACUGCGAAGGGGGGACGGAGAAGGCUAUGUUGGCCGGGCGACGGUUGUCCCGGUUUAAGCGUGUAGGCUGGUUUUCCAGGCAAAUCCGGAAAACCAAGGCUGAGGCGUGAUGACGAGGCACUACGGUGCUGAAGCGACAAAUGCCCUGCUUCCAGGAAAAGCCUCUAAGCAUCAGGUAACAUCAAAUCGUACCCCAAACCGACACAGGUGGUCAGGUAGAGAAUACCAAGGCGCUUGAGAGAACUCGGGUGAAGGAACUAGGCAAAAUGGUGCCGUAACUUCGGGAGAAGGCAC